rnacentral:lncRNA from 1 species
AUGUCUCAAGCCGCCGUCUCCUGGGUGAGGAGCCAACUAUAUCCCUGUAGCAGCAUUUGGUUGACCGCCUGGUUGCUGAAGGCCUUGGUUUGUUCCAUUAUCACUUCCUGUAAACACUCAGAAUUUGGAAGGCCGGUGUAUAGAUGGAAAUUGUGGAGCAUUCGGUGGUGUGGAAGGAGUUCCAGGGUGUGUUUUGCGACUGGCAGAAAUCCAGGACCCCAGAGCAGCUCAGAGAUCCCCAAAGGGAGAACAAAGUCACUGAGGGACGCUGGAUCACCAAUUUCCAUGUGUUGGGCCGAUCCCCAUGAAAGGAAGCUGAGCUGGAUGAAACCAACAUCCUCAGAGCUGAGACAAGAAGUAUGAAGAGUAAAGCUUCUGGCUUUAUAGCUCAUGAGGACUCCAAAAAGCCAGGUGACUUGUUCCCUGCUGGAAAGUGCAUUUCUCAGCCCAACACCAUUCUGGCAGUCAGAGUCUGGUGCCUGGCCACAAGACCAUUUGAAAACGCUGGAGUGUAGCCCCAGCCAGAAUUCAUCAGUUGUCUCAAGGCCUUCUUCCAGUCCCACAAGAAGGGCUGAUCUUUCAAGAGGGAGGGGAGGUGUGAAGAUAGCGUCUCAACUCCAGGGCAUUGAUCUGGCCUUAAUCAGCAAGCCUCGCCCCUGAGUCUUAAGACCAGAUGCCAUGCUAAUUGCUUUUUUUUUUUUAAUUUUUUUGACAGGCAGAGUGGAGAGAGAGAGACAGAGAGAAAGGUCUUCCUUUGCCGUUGGUUCACCCUCCAAUGGCCGCCGUGGCUGGUGCGCUGCGGCCAGUGAGUCGCACUGAUCCGAAGCCAGGAGCCAGGUGCCUCUCCUGGUCUCCCAUGGGGUGCAGGGCCCAAGCACUUCCACUGCACUCCUGGGCCACAGCAGAGAGCUGGCCUGGAAGAGGGGCAACCGGGAAAGAAUCCAGAGCCCCGAACGGGACUAGAACCCGGUGUGCCGGCACCGCAGGUGGAGGAUUAGCCUAUUGAGCUGCGGCGCCAGCCCCGCUAAUUGCUUUUAAGUGGCUGACAGGGACCUGGUGUUUUUGAGAAAAAUGUGAGUUACUAUGAAGGAGAGCAAGGCUUUCUGAAAAAGAAAAAAAAAAAAAAAAAGCAACAGCAGUCCACAUACUCACCUGUCUGGUGGGAUGAUCCGACACUAGCUGGAGUUGAACUCAAGUGGGAUCCACGUCACAUUGGAGUUACAAUCCAAGUCAUGGCACUAAAAUGUGACGGGAAAACAGCGGUGGAGAAAUUAUUAUUACCUCGGGUCAUUGUCUCACGUGGAAGAAGAAUUUCCAAGCAGACAAGUAGAGAGAUUUAAAAAGACGUAUUAGAGUUAAAGAC